rnacentral:lncRNA from 1 species
GAACGAAAUGCUUAUCUCCACUAUAAUCAUCUGGUUAAUAACAGUAAUACCAUUUAACAAGGAAUAAAAAAAAUGAACUAAACAAUGGCAACCAAAGAAAACGUUUACAGUAAGGUUUUUUUUUUUAAAACAUUUGAAAUAAAUCACAAUCUCAUAAUCCAGCUUUGGCACCAAAAAAAAGAACAAAUGACGGUAGCCGCAACACCGUGUAAAAAUUCCUGGAGUUAUUUAUGAUACAUGAGCCCGUUGAAACCAAAAUGAAACCAAUCAAACAACAAAUACAAUAAAUCUAAAACGUUACCAUAUUUACAAUGCUCUUGCUGGUAGAUUUUUGGGUUCCGAAACCGUAUCAACCGUCUUCUCAAUACCCAAUAACGACCAUGACAGUUCUCGUGGCGUAGUCGUAAUGGUUCAGUCGGAAGAUCCGUGACAGGUUGAAGCGAUAUGAAGAUGAAAAGGGUUUAGUUGUGCGGUGGUCGACGGCGUGGGUUACUUCGGUGGCGGAGUUCGAUCCACGGUGGAAGGAAAAAGAAGAGUGAGGUUGUUUAGAUCGCAGUCAGCUUGGUAGAUGGCGUUGAAGGGAAUUCGCGGCGGCCAUGGCGGUUAGCCGGAAGUUGUUGAAGGAUGUUAAGGGCGGAGAAUUCGAGACGUACGGUGGAGUGUGUAUGUUAUGGUGGUGUUUGUUGGAAGGUUUGAGUUUAUGAAGAAGAAGAGGAUUUGAAGGAAUUGAGUGGGUAAGGGUGUGACGGCAGUGCGUUUUUUCAAGGGGAAGAAGAAGGUGGAUUUCAGUGUUUUGUGUGUGUGACGUUUGGGAGCAGAAGAAGUAUUCCUCCCUUUUUGUUUUUUUCUGUCCCAUGAGUCCCCUUUUUCUUGAGACAGAGUGGUGAUCCCCACGUGAAGAAGAAAUCUCUUUGUUUCCCCUUUUUCCCCGUUAGCCAGCUGUUCCUCCAUUAAUAAAAUCCCAUUUUUGUUCUUAUCCCAUCUCUCCCAAUAACAUGAUGCCACGUUUCAUGUUGAGAGUAUGGAUAAAAAAUCUUCUCAAAUGCAAGCUGUCAAACGUGUAUCUUUCACAAGUAUACAACUUUAUUUUUAAUUUUUAAUUUUUAAUGUUAAUAUUAAUAUUAUUUGAUUUUUCAUGAUUAAUAUUAUUAUUAAUUGAUUUUUGAUUGGAUAAUGGAAUAUGAUAACGAUUGCAAAUGAGAUCCGUGGAUUAAUUUGUAUCAACGAUCCUGAUUAAUCCAAAGAAGCACAAGCAAUUUUAAAAUGUCCGAUAUGUCCCUUUUAUAUGAUUUUAAUUGAUUUAAAAUAAUUUAAAUCAUCAAAUCAAAUUAAAUUCGCAUCUUUCUAAAUACAUACGAUAAAAAUAAAAUGAGAAUACGAAAAAUUCUAUUUAUUUCUUUUGAACAUUUUGGCGAAAGAAUAAAAAUAAAAUGACUAAAAAUUAAUAAAAGUCGGACGAAAAUUUGUUUAAAAAAUUAAAUCGGACGCACUAAAAUGAUCAGCGCGAAAUAUACUUAUUGAAAAAAUACAUCAUUUCUUUUAAUUUUGAAAUAAAUUUUGACCGAUUGAAAGGCUUAGACGGAUCAAAAUGCGAUUGAAAAAGUCGUCGAAAAAUAUAACGAGCACACCAUGUUAAACUACGCAGACCAUAGAUUAAUAAUACUGGCGUAUGCAAGUUUAAUUUUGAAACUUUUUACACGCUGAUUUUGCACGUACUUGAGAAAUGAUUUAACCAAUUUGUCUAUAUUUUCAAUAAUUUAUUUCGACCGAUAUUUUAAGUAUUAUUCAUGAUGAAAUGCAUGUUAUGCUGUACAACUGAUGCAAAUUAAAAAUGAAAUCAAGUUUAUGAAAAAUUUAAAAUGUCUGGACAAAAUUGGGGUAUGACAGCUGCCCCUAUUUAGUUACCUUGAUCCGGAAAGUAAGAAUUACAGCAGUGUCCGUAAAUUCGUGGUGGAAGGUAAUUAAAUACGAAAAGACCCAAAUUUUGUCCUUUGAAAUGUGAUGGAGAAAUGUAGAAAGAAAAUGUAACGAAUCCUAACGACAUCCAGGGUAUUAGGGGUAGAAUAUCCGAUCAAUGCCAACCCUCGAGUCGACAUUUAAAUCUUGCAAAGGUCGUUAUUGAUAUGAGGACAAACCUGAGCAGGUUUUCUGGCACCAAAAGGAUGACAAUAGAAUUAAUUGCCAUCACCAAAAGGGUGAUAGUAAUUCACCAUGAUUUCCGGGAUCGUCAUCACCAAAAGGAUGAUGGAAUACCAAGCUUCAAAGGUAGUCAUCACCAAAAGGAUGAUGGUUAUCCUGAUAAAGCUUUCCAUUACCGAGGGGGUAAUAUUAAGACUAUCAUCAAAAGGACGAUAGUUAACUCAUCAACUUCAAAGAUCACCGUCACCAAAAGGAUGAAAGUAAGUUCAACGACAAAACUUAUUAUCACCAAAAGGAUGAUGCUAAGUCACGGCAACUUCAUUGGAUCACCAUCACCAAAAGGAUGAAGGUAACAUUAACAACAAAACUUGUUAUCACCAAAAGGAUGAUAAAAAGUCAACAAUCACCAUCACCAAAAGGAUGAAGGUACUACCAAACAACAGAACUUGUUACCACCAAAAGGAUGAUAAUAAGUCAACAAUAUUAAUGAUCACCAGUAUCCAAAGGAUGAAGGUAAGAUCAACAACGAAACUUGUUAUCACCAAAAGGAUGAUAAUAAGUCACAAACUUCAAAUGAUCACCAUCACCAAAAGGGUGAAGGUAAGAUCAAAUAACAGAACUUGUUACCACCAAAAGGAUGAUAACAAGUCAUCAACCACCAUCACCAAAAGGAUGAAGGUAAAAACAAACAACAAAGCUUGUUACCCUCAAAAGGAUGAUAAUAAGUCAACAACUCAAAUAAUCACCAUCACCAAAAGGAUGAAGGUAAGAUUAAUAACAAGACUUGUUACCACCAAAAGGAUGAUAAUGAGUCACAAUCACCAUCACCAAAAGGAUGAAGGUAUUAUUGAACAACAAAACUCGUUAUCACCAAAAUGAUGAUAAUAAGUUACAACAACUUAAAUGAUCACCAUCACCGAAAGGAUGAAGGUAAGAUCAGAACAAAACUUGUUACCACCAAAAGGAUGAUAGUAAGUCGAGACAAACUUUAAUGAUCGCCAUCACCAAAAGGAUGAAGGUAAGAUCAAAUGACAAAACUUAUUACCACCAAAAGGAUGAUAAUAAGUCAAAAACUUCACAUGAUCACCAUCACCAAAAGGAUGAAGGUAUGAUCAACAACAAAACUUGUUACCUCCAAAAGGAUGAUAAUAAGUCACAAACUUCAAAUGAUCACCAUCACCAAAAGGAUGAAGGUAUGAUCAACAACAAAACUUAUUACCACCAAAAGGAUGACAAUAAUCUUUAAUAAUGAGAGGUCUCCAUUCACCAAAAGGAUGAAGGUUGGACCCAAAACUUCAAGGAUCUUCGACACCAAAAGGAUGACGGUAAGAUCACAAAUGUCAAGGGUUUACCAUUACCAAAAGGAUAACGGUUAUCAUAAACAAGGAGAUGAUUAAUAUUAUUCCUCAAUGAACUUUCACCAAAAGAAUGAUAGUGAGAAAAAUAUUUGGAAUAAUAAAGCUACUGACAAAGUUCAAUAAACCCGACUUGUUGGGUAGUAUUAGAACGUUACUGGGUAAGACUUGCUUGGGGUAUCGACAAUAAAAGGUUGCAGAAAAAUAUUCUCUGGAAAACAUAAUUUCCAUCAACAAAAGGUUAAAAGAAACAUCUCAUCGAGGAACGCUCAAUGAGAAACAAGGUAGGGGUUUGAAGAAAAAUUGUUCGACUUAGAUGAGGGUAACACCUUAUUAACAAAAGGUUAGAGGAUGUAAAUCAACGGGGAACACCCAACAAUACAAGGUAAGAACUCACUCAGAGAAAAUAAUAAAUGACUCAACUGAGGGUUGGCCUGGACACCUACGACUAAACCUUGGAUCUUGAUUCGUGCUAUAUGCAUGAAUGUUAUGUAUGCGUUAUGUAUGAGAUGAUGUAUGCAGUGCAUGUUUGAAUGUAAAGGAUGAUUGGUUUGUUUAGAAUUGGUCCCCCCUUUUCAAAGGAGAUGUAUUUUCUGGAAACAAAUACUGGUUGUAUUUGUUUUUGUGUGGGUUCCAACAAGGUGGACUUUGGGUUUUUUGGUAAUUGCCAAUAUGAGUUUGAUUGUUGGUGGGUGAAAGGAUCUGACUUCCCGACACUUGGUAGUUUAUGAUCUGAUGAACACGCAAUGGAUGUGGAUACGCUCGAUGCCCUAAGUUUGAUUUCUUGCUGUUAUGUUGUGUCUUUGCCCCUGAGGGGAACUCGACUUCUUCUUCUGAGAUGUUGGGUCAGCUUGUAACCGAGCAUAGUGACAUGAUCAACGCAUGAUGAUUAUGCUUUUGACGUGCCGCAAGGUUUCUUGUCAAGAUGUGAUAUUGUACCGGUAUGAAGUUUUGACAUUUUGGUUGUGAUCUUAGACAGUUUCUAGUGUCUGACACAAUCUGCCUGACCGACUUGAAGAUAUGAAGUGAAUUUUCCCCUUGCAACUUGUCUUGCCCAGUCUGUAGGGUGUUCAAAGGAAUUAUCCUUGAAAGGAAACCCUUAGGAGUGAUUAUCCCAUGACAUGGUCUGAGUCUGUUUCCUCCAACGUUUGUCUCUUGUGGUGGGAUAAACACAGAAAUGGAUAACAAAUGGUUUUGAACUCGGCAUUCAUGUCGUGUGAUUUUCUCUCUUCUUCUUUUUUUCUCGUGCAUAACUCAUAGCUUUGGGGGUUUAUCCACUUUUGGCUCUUUUCAACUCAAUUCUUUGUGAGCAUUUUAAAGGUGUUAGAGUCUUAAGUCUCGGCAAGUGCAUUUUCUUUUUUUUUUUUUCUUUUUGGACAUACACAUGUCUCUACUUUUUGUAUUGCUUUUAGAUCUCUUAUUAUGCACUUGCCCUUUCUUUCAAGAUUACCACCCCAAACUUAGCUUUUUGCACAUCUUGUAACUCACAACAAUCAUGCCGAGUGAUGGGAUGAAAUGAACGAUUAAUGGUCAACAUGGGGUUUAUUACGAACAAAAUGGCUAAGGCUCAACGGGGUUCACGAAGGGUAAACAUAUAAACAUGGAUGGCUAGAAAGGCUCUGGAUUAAACAAACAACUUGCCUCAGUGCGUGUUGUCAUGCUGUGAAGUGUCAAAAGAACAUACGCAAAAUCAGAGUGAUAGAGUCAUACCUGGCUGAACUCUCAUGAUAUUUAGUGUUUGGCCUUUUUAUUCUCACCAUGUUGGUUAAACUUACAAGCUCUGAAGCCUCCUAGUGUCAUGUGGUUUCUUUUCUGAUUCGGUUCUACCAUACCGCUCUCUUGGUCCAGUGUCACCAAAUUGUGUCCGACUUUUACUUUCUCAUGGUUGCAUCAACUUCCGGGGUACCUUAAUAGAACAAGUAUGAGGGGUGUCUUUCAUCCACUACAACCGAUCCCGGAUUCGUCCACAAUUUCUCAUCACUCUGUACACACCGAUAAACAAUAAAAACAAACGUUGAAGGAAAACAUGAACAAAAUGAAAACGAAAUAAAACAUGAAAGGAAAACCCCUCCCCCCCCCCACACCUGAACUAAACAUUGACCUCAAUGUUUAAAUCCAGAUACAAAGGGGACUCACAGCGACUACUGUUGUUUUACUGCACUUGUGUGGUUUCCUUCCAUUUUGAGGUGUUUGUGACUUUAUUAAAUCCAGAUACAAAGGGGACUCACAGCGACUACUGUUGUUUUACUGCACUUGUGUGGUUUCCUUCCAUUUUGAGGUGUUUGUGACUUUGCCCUUCUAAUUCUCCUCCUCCCCUACAACAAAAUUCUAGCACACAAAAAGAAAAAGAAAAACGAAAUAAAUUAGAAAUCAAACGCGUGGGUUGCCUCCCACGAAGCGCUUCCUUUAACGUCGCAUGGCUCGACGGUUCAUUUCCCUUAUCAUGGGGGGUAUUUCAGGUUCAAAACCUUGUUGCACCUCUUGUCUCUAACUCGGACGUUGUCUCUUUUAUCAGUGUUGACUCCUUUGCACCACGUUCCUUUUUAACCUUCCUUUCGAUGUUAGGAAUCUUCCCGUUUAGGGUGGCUACUGGCAGUGGUGAGACUUUGAUAGUAUUCAAUGUCCUGAUUAAGCCUACUUGAUACUGAGAUUUUGUAUCUUCCUCCAUAUCCUGGUCUUCAAUAGCUUUCAAUGUUAUUUCCUUGUUGUGAACUUUCAAGGUUAACGUGCACUCAUCCAUGUCGAGCUCGCAUCGACUCGUCUUCAUGAAAGGUCUACCCAGAAUGAUGGGUGCCUCAUUGUCUUCAGGUAUGUCUAGGAUUACAAAAUCGACUGGGAAAGUCAAGUCCGCUAUUGUUACCAACACAUCUUCAACCAUACCAUACGCAUCUUUUCUUGAGUGAUCCGCAAACUUCAGAUUGGUCUUUAUAUCACUGAUAUUUCUAAUACCCAGCCUGUGAUAGAUCGAUAAUGGCAUCAGAUUCAUACUAGCUCCAUAACCUAUUAGUACCUUUUUGAAGGUUCUUUCUUUGAUUGUGCAUGGUACUGUGACGGUUCCUGGAUCCUUUUAUUUGUUAGGAAUGUUCUGCUCCAGGGAGUUUGCAUUAUAUUGUUCCUUACCGGAUACCUGUUCUUCAGUGGUUGGUUUCUUUUCAGCCAUUACCUCUUCCACGAAUUUCUUGUACAUGGGCAUCCUUUCAAGUGGUUCAAACAAAGCCAUAUGACCCUCAAUCCUUUUAAACAUUGUCAUGAAUUUCUCCAAGUCUGACUCACUAGGUUCCUUCUUUGUCAUUCUCUGAGGGUAGGCAACUUAAUCACCGGUUUAGUUCCUUUUGUAGUUUCUUCUUGAGUCGGCUCUCUCGGUGAUGUAAUUUUUUCUUUUUAGCAGCCUUUUUCUCUGUCGUCGUGACAGUAUUAAACAUCUCUGACCUCUCGGAUUUUGAACUGUUUCACUUGGUAGGGAACCUGGUGUUCGAGAACUUGCCAGUUGCUGGGCUAUCUGCCCCAGCUGAACUUCGAGAUUCUUUAGGGAUGCGGCGAUGUUUUUCUGAUUGUUUCUAGUCUCUUCUUCAAAUUGCCCAUUUUGAGCUGCCGUCUUUUCAAUUGCAAUCUCCCAAUCUGCCUUCUUUGGGACUUGAUUUUGCUGUUGCUGAUAUUGGUUUUGAUAUUGGCCUUGUACUUGCUGUUGCACAUUCCCUUUCUGAUCCCUCCAUGCAAAGUUUGGAUGAUUCUUCCACCCCGGGUUGUAUGUGUUGGAGUAGGGAUUGUUUUGCUUUAAAAACUUGAUAUCUUCUAUCUGUUGCGGUGUUGCAAAGCAAUGAACAGUAUUGUGUGGUCCAUUACAAAUGCCACACACAUCGUUAGGUGCCUGUUGUACUUGAGCCACUUUCUGCGCACCUAUGUUUAGUGCCUUCAACCUUUUCUCCACCUCUGCAACAACUGCUUCUUCAAUUUUUACCUGUUUGUUUAUUUUAAGCUUCAAAUCAAUUACUGCAGAUUUGCUUGACACCCUAUCAUACAACUCCAGAUGCUCAUUUGAGGAAAUUGCUUCAAUUAUCUUCUUCAUACCGGUGGCUGUUGCAAAGUUAGCUGAGCCACCAGCUGUUGAGUCAAGGAUUUGUCUCGUUUGAAUUCGAAGACCAUUAACAAACAUUUGCAUCUGCUCAGUUUCAUCCAUGUUGUGAGUAGGACAAGCCACUAGGAUUCUCUUGAAUCUUUUAUAGGCAUCUCCUAUCGUUUGAAUUCGAAGACCAUUAACAAACAUUUGCAUCUGCUCAGUUUCAUCCAUGUUGUGAGUAGGACAAGCCACUAGGAUUCUCUUGAAUCUUUUAUAGGCAUCUCCUAGUGACUCACCCUCCUUUUGCUUGAAGUUUAGGAUCUCCUAUCUUUUUCUCAGUGACAUAGAUGCGGGAAAAUAUUCCUGCAAGAAUGUUGUUUCCAUCUGCUCCCAUGUAGUGAUACUGCCAGCCGGUAAGGAAUAGAAUCACUCUUCGGCUUCAUCUGCUAAAGUGAAUGGGAACAUACGAAGCCUUAUUGCUUCUUCGUUAUGUCCAGGCAUUUUCAGCGUUGUGCUCAUAGUUAAAAAUCUUUGCGGAUGCUUGUUGGCAUCUUCAUUCACUCUUCCAGAAAAGGACCGCCUUUCGAGUUGAUUAAUUAUGCUGGGAUGCAAUUGAAAUUGUUUUACAUUAACCGGGUGGUUUACAAUUGUCAUCCGACCACCCGGAGUGUUGGUUCCACCAUUGUCACCGAGAAGUCUCUCGGGUGGUGGUGGUGGUGGUGGGUUUGCAGCCAUGAUUUCAGGAACUAUUUCCGCGUCUGAAUCUGAAUUCUCUGAGUGCACUGAAACAACUUCCUCCUCUGCUUUCUUUGCUAAUUCCAGUUUUUCUCUCUU